CAUACUUAUUUCACAGAGGCCAGAGUGCUCAUCUUGGAACAAUAAAAAGUGAAUCAUUUGUCCUAGAUUUCUGCACUGCCUUUGAUCCACUUCUCCAUGGGCUUCAAUUCUGGAUUUUCACCACAUCCUCCUGGAUUCUAUGGGUGUUCUGGUACAUGGAGAUUAAUCUGACAAAACUGCUGAAUUCAUCUGUGAAUGAAUAAAGAACUGAAAGCUCCUUGCAAGCAAGAAGAGUUCUUUGUCACAGAUCAUUUGUGAAUGGCUACUAUUUGCAGUGAGUAGUUUUGGUGCAGAUAGUGGCACAACAUCAUGUUCAGUCAAUUAUAAGCUACUGAAAAGCAGCAG
rnacentral:lncRNA from 12 species